rnacentral:lncRNA from 1 species
AGUAAAAUGAAGGGGCUGGGCCAGGCUGGUCCCUCCUGCCUUCGCUCUCUGCUGGUCGCGGUGGCCUGUAGCUCCUCCCUCGGGAAAAUAAAAGAAGCAAAAACAGGCCCUGCUGUGAGGGACCACGAGGCAGUGCCAGGAUGAAAGAGUUGGAGUAACCUAGGUGAUUCUGAGUGAAUCAGUCAGGAGGCCUUCCUGGAGGGGACCAUUGCAGGUACUGUGCCUUCUGCCUGAAAUGUGCUCACCUCGCCUCGCUGACUCCUACUCGCCAGUUAGUGUUCGGCCCAUUUCUGCCCCCGUGAGAUUUCUUCACAGAUGUUGCCCUCCCCCAUUUGCUGAGUUUCCUGCAUGCCGGCUCCUUCAGCACUCAAGGGUACCUCUUUGAUUCUGCUUCUCACAGGGCUGAGGCCCCAGCUUGUGGCCACCACAACGUAUCAAGCUAUCUCCAGGGUUGGGCUCAGGACUCAGAGCUGACGCAGCUGGGGUGCCCCUUGGUUCUGGAGGAUGAGGCUCCUCCGCAGACGCCACAUGCCCCUGCGCCUGGCCAUGGUGGGCUGCGCCUUUGUGCUCUUCC